rnacentral:rRNA from 1 species
UACGAAGGGGGCUAGCGUUGCUCGGAAUCACUGGGCGUAAAGCGCACGUAGGCGGAUUGUUAAGUCAGGGGUGAAAUCCUGGAGCUCAACUCCAGAACUGCCUUUGAUACUGGCGAUCUUGAGUCCGGGAGAGGUGAGUGGAACUGCGAGUGUAGAGGUGAAAUUCGUAGAUAUUCGCAAGAACACCAGUGACGAAGGCGGCUCACUGGCCCGGUACUGACGCUGAGGCGCGAAAGCUAGGGUAGCAAACGGG